rnacentral:lncRNA from 1 species
CCGUGAAAAUGAGGUCACUGUCAAAUAAAACCUGCGCGACUGACAUAAAGAUCAUAAAAUAUUUCCAUACACCAAAUAUGGUUGACCUAUGCCAUAUAGUAUUAGAUAAAAAGACCAAAACUCAAAAACUUAACUUUGACCACUGAACCAUGAAAAUGAGGUCAAAGUCACAUGACAUCUGCCCGCUAGACAUGAACACCUUACAAUCAUUCCAUACAACAAAUAUAGUAGACCUAUUGCAUAUAGUAUGAGAAAAACAGACCAAAACACAAAAAGUUAACUAUAACCACUGAACCAUGAAAAUGAGGUCAAGGUCAGAUGACACCUGUCAGUUGGACAUGUACACCUUACAGUCCUUCCAUACACCGAAUAUACUAGCCCUAUUGCUUAUAGUAUCUGAGAUAUGGACUUGACCACCAAAACUUAAC